UACGUAGGGUGCAAGCGUUACUCGGAAUUACUGGGCGUAAAGCGUGCGCAGGCGGUUUUGUAAGACAGAGGUGAAAUCCCCGGGCUCAACCUGGGAACUGCCUUUGUGACUGCAAGGCUUGAGUGCGGCAGAGGGGGAUGGAAUUCCGCGUGUAGCAGUGAAAUGCGUAGAUAUGCGGAGGAACACCGAUGGCGAAGGCAAUCCCCUGGGCCUGCACUGACGCUCAUGCACGAAAGCGUGGGGAGCAAACAGG
rnacentral:rRNA from 1 species